GAUGGAUUCUGAGACAUGAAUCCAGGCCCUACGGGGCGCAGCAGGCGCGCAAACUUUACAAUGCGAGCAAUCGUGAUAAGGAAACCCUGAGUGCCUGUCGAUGCAGGCUGUUCAUAUAUCUAAAUCAUAUGUGAAGAAAGGGCAGGGCAAGACCGGUGCCAGCCGCCGCGGUAAUACCGGCUACUCGAGUGAUGGCCACUAUUACUGGGUUUAAAGCGUCCGUAGCUUGAUUGUUAGGUCUCUUGGGAAAUCUUCACGCUCAACGUGAAGGCGUCUAAGAGAUACCGGCAAUCUUGGAACUGGGAGAGGUAAACCGUACUUCGGGGGUAGGAGUGAAAUCUUGUAAUCCUCGAGGGACGACCUAUGGCGAAGGCAGUUUACCAGAACAGCUUCGACAGUGAGGGACGAAAGCUGGGGGAGCAAACGGGAUUAGAUACCCCGGUAGUCCCAGCCGUAAACAAUGUGCGUUAGGUCUGUCGGUAACCACGUGUUACUGAUGAGCCGAAGAGAAAUCGUGAAACGCACCACCUGGGAAGUACGGUCGCAAGGCUGAAACUUAA
rnacentral:rRNA from 1 species